rnacentral:rRNA from 1 species
GACGAACGCUGGCGGCGUGCUUAACACAUGCAAGUCAAGGGGGAGUCGCAAGACUCAACCGGCGAACGGGUGCGUAACACGUGAGCGACCUACCUAAUUGUGGGGGAUAGCCGGCCCAACGGCCGGGUAAUACCGCAUACGAUCGGAGAGGGGCAUCCCUUUCUGAGGAAAGCCUUCGGGCGCAAUUUGAGGGGCUCGCGGCCUAUCAGCUAGUUGGCGGGGUAACGGCCCACCAAGGCGACGACGGUAGCUGGUCUGAGAGGAUGGCCAGCCACAUUGGGACUGAGACACGGCCCAGACUCCUACGGGAGGCAGCAGUGGGGAAUCUUGCGCAAUGGGCGAAAGCCUGACGCAGCGACGCCGCGUGAGGGAUGA